rnacentral:rRNA from 1 species
CCUACGGGUGGCAGCAGUGGGGAAUAUUUCACAAUGGGGGAAACCCUGAUCCAGCGACGUCGCGUGAGUGAAGAAGUACCUCGGUAUGUAAAGCCUUUUCUGCAGGGAAGAUAAUGACGGUACCUGUCUAAGAACCCCCGGCUAACGACGUGACAACAGCCGCGGGAAUACGUAGGGGGCCAGCGGUAUCCGGAUGUACUGGGUGUUAAGGGUGCUUAGUGGGCAAGACAAGGUAGGUGGGAAAACCCGGGGUUCAACCCCGGGCGUGCAUUUGAAACUGUCGGGCUGGAGUGAGGGAGAGGUAAGCGGAAGGCGUAGUGUAGCGGUGAAAUGCAUAGAUAUUAGGCAGAACACCGGUGGCGAAGGCAGCUUACUGGAGUGUAACUGACGCUGAGGCUCGAAAGCGUGGGGAGCGAACAGGAUUAGAUACCCGAGUAGUC